CUGGAGUCUUGAGAGACUCAGGGGAUAGAAAUUAGACGUAUGUUUGCAAUAUGACAGCGUGCUCCCACGCUGCUGACCCAGUUCCUCCUGGCAGCACUUCAACUAAAGCUAUACUUACUUAAAGGCCCAGGAAUUUGGAGAUGCACUUGCUCUAUGUACCUACGUACCUAUGGCUCUGAGCCAGGAUGGCUGCGGCACUGGGGCUCUGGGGGCGAACACAGAUUGUGCACUUGAAGAAGGAUGCCUGCAUUAUUGCUGGGGCAGAAAUUUUUAAGGUGACCUGUAUUAUCCUCUCUUGCACUGUUUACAAGUGAUCCCAUGGAUUUAGAGACAAAUCUGAGAAGACAUUGCUUUAAUUCCUCUCAGGGCGUGCUGCAGGCUCCAUCUGUUUCACUGAGUUUUCAACAUUAAGGUCAUCAAGGCAUAAACUAAGAGGUAGUGCUAGGACGUGAGGUGAGUUGUUAAUAUUUCCUAGGUACUAAUGUGAUUUGACUUGAAGUUUUGUGAUUUUUCUUUUGAGUUUAUAAUUGAUAUUAUGCUCAGGCUGCAAAAGUUACUUGGAGUUUUUUGACAACAUUGGUGAUGAAAUGCUAACCUUUCAGCAAUUGAUAGGAUUGUGAUUUUGAGAAGUUUCACCUUCAAUUCAAUGUCAAAGCAACUCCGUGACUACAUAAAUUUAACAACCUGUGCCCCAGUCACAGGUUGAUGCGAUUGUUUCACAUCAUCUUGGGAGUGACUGCAGUGUGAUCAGACACCUGCUGGCAUCUCAGACAAAAAUGGAGAGGUCUCAAUUGACCUUUCAAGAACAACACACCAAAGGAAAAACCCUAUAACUGCUUCACUGUUUUUCCAGGUUGUUCAUUUCCUAAUCUUUUAGGAAGAAAAACUUCAUCACAGAACUUUACUUGGGAAGAGACAUAAGGUUUGAGAAAAUAAAAACCUAUUUCAGCAGGUAGUUGUCCUCUAG
rnacentral:lncRNA from 1 species